rnacentral:tRNA from 1 species
GACUGCGUAGCUCAGUUGGCAGAGCAUUGGGCUAGUAUUCCAAAGGUCGUAGGUUCGAUUCCCACUGUGGUCA